CGGAAAGUCGGGUCGCCUCGAACGGCCCAAUCGCCUUGGGAGGGCAAGGGUUGCGAGUUCGAUUCUCGCCGUUUCGACCA
rnacentral:tRNA from 2 species